CGCGUAGGUGGCCUGUGGAAGUCUGCGGUGAAAGUCCGGCGCUCAACGCCGGAUCGGCCGUGGAUACUCUCGGGCUUGAGCUUACUAGAGGCAGAUGGAAUUCCGGGUGUAGCGGUGGAAUGCGUAGAGAUCCGGAAGAACACCGGUGGCGAAGGCGGUCUGCUGGGGUAAUGCUGACACUGAUGGAGCGACGAGCGGUACGGGAGCAAACA
rnacentral:rRNA from 1 species